AGGGUUCGAUUCUGGCUCAGGAUGAACGCUAGCGACAGGCUUAACACAUGCAAGUCGAGGGGCAGCAUAAAAGUAGCAAUACUUGGUGGCGACCGGCGCACGGGUGAGUAACGCGUAUGCAACCUACCUAUCAGAGGGGAAUAACCCGGCGAAAGUCGGACUAAUACCGCAUAAAACAGGGGCACCGCAUGGUGAUAUUUGUUAAAGAAAUUCGCUGAUAGAUGGGCAUGCGUUCCAUUAGGUAGUUGGUGAGGUAACGGCUCACCAAGCCGACGAUGGAUAGGGGAACUGAGAGGUUGGUCCCCCACACUGGUACUGAGACACGGACCAGACUCCUACGGGAGGCAGCAGUGAGGAAUAUUGGUCAAUGGGCGGGAGCCUGAACCAGCCAAGUCGCCGUGAAGGAAGAAGGAUCUAUGGUUCGUAAACUUCUUUUGCAGGGGAAUAAAGUGCAGGACGUGUCCUGUUUUGUAUGUACCCUGAGAAUAAGGAUCGGCUAACUCCGUGCCAGCCGCCGC
rnacentral:rRNA from 1 species